CCCUCCCCACACGAUAGAGACCGGCCACUGAGGACUACUUUACCCCUCCCUCCCACACGAUAGAGACUGGCCACUGAGGACCUCUUUACCCCUCCCUCCCACACGAUAGAGACUGGCCACUGAGGACUACUUUACUCCUCCCUCCCACACGAUAGAGACUGGCCCCGAGGACUACUUUACCCCUCCCUCCCACACGAUAGAGACUGGCUACUGAGGACUACUUUACCCCUCCCUCCCAUCUCACACGAUAGAGACUGGCCACUGAGGACCACUAUACCCCUCCCUCCCACACGAUAGAGACCGGCCACUGAGGACUACUUUACCCCUCCCUCCCACACGAUAGAGACUGGCCACUGAGGACCUCUUUACCCCUCCCUCCCACACGAUAGAGACUGGCCCCUGAGGACUACUUUACCCCUUCCUCCCACACGAUAGAGACUGGCCACUGAGGACUACUUUACUCCUCCCUCCCGUCUCACUGUGCUAAUCCAAUCCACCACAUUACUACAAUCUAAUCUGUCUCGCAGGAGAGAAGAGACUCACCUGCCACUGAGGUACACUGUGCCUUGCAACUGGUCUGCUAAUGCAGGGUCUGAAUACAACGGAGGGACUACUGUGAUUCAACUCUGAGCAGCCAGCCUCAUUCCUAUAGAAGUGUUUCACAUGACUCCUCUCAGUGGGCUUAGCUGGUUAUCUAAAGGUUGUUUUUUUCUCGCUGAGGUCCGCCUGUGCUUUUCAAUGGAGAUGUAUCAACUGUAUUCUAGUGUAUCAACUGUAUACUAGUGUAUCAACUGUAUACUAGUGUAUCAACUGUAUUCUAGUGUAUCAACUGUAUACUAGUGUAUCAACUGUAUACUAGUGUAUCAACUGUAUACUAGUGUAUCAACUGUAUACUAGUGUAUCAACUGUAUACUAGUGUAUCAACUGUAUACUAGUGUAUCAACUGUAUUCUAGUGUAUCAACUGUAUACUAGUGUAUCAACUGUACACUAGUGUAUCAACUGUAUUCUAGUGUAUCAACUGUAUACUAGUGUAUCAACUGUAUACUAGUGUAUCAACUGUAUACUAGUGUAUCAACUGUAUACUAGUGUAUCAACUGUAUUCUAGUGUAUCAACUGUAUUCUAGUGUAUCAACUGUAUACUAGUGUAUCAACUGUAUACUAGUGUAUCAACUGUAUACUAGUGUAUCAACUGUAUACUAGUGUAUCAACUGUAUACUAGUGUAUCAACUGUAUACUAGUGUAUCAACUGUAUACUAGUGUAUCAACUGUAUACUUGCUGUUUACCCAGGGAUGUUUUCCAUUCAGGUUUCAAGGUAACUUAAUAUCUACAUUAGUUAUAGAUGUUCGUCUCUCUUCUCAUCCUAUAGAGUUUUAUACAAGAAUGGUAACUUUAUAAUCAUAUCAAAUGUGAUUGGUCACAUACACACGGUUUUAGCAGAUGUUAUUGGUCACAUACACACGGUUUUAGCAGAUGUUAUUGGUCACAUACACACGGUUUUAGCAGAUG
ensembl:lncRNA